rnacentral:lncRNA from 1 species
UUAUAACACAUAAGCAUGGUCAAGGAAAACAAAUUCUAGCAUUAGCCAGGUCUAAAAAUGCUUUGUGUUAUUCUGCUAUAUCCAGGAACUUGAUGAUGGGAGGGUCACUGUCAGAUGCAGAUGAUGGAAAAUAAUUCCCUCCUGUCAGAAGAAUUGUGGUACUAUGACUGUGGAGUGCAAUAUAUACCAACUCAGUCACCUUAAGGACUCAAAGAGAAGAUUCUAACCUGCAUUGGGAGAAGGAGUUCUAUACAACACUGAAAUCACAAACCUAAUCUCCAUUCUCAUUUUGAAGAUUAAAUAGAGCCUGAAAUAUAUAAAUGAGGAUCUUUUAAAAUAUAAUGCAAAUGAUGAAA